rnacentral:misc_RNA from 1 species
GAAAAUAUCUUUCAAGUUAGGUAGAUUCCGUGAUUACCUUGUUUUAUGCUAUGAAAACUAUUUGAUGCAUCCUAAAAAUAAAAUUAUCUAAGAGAGGAGGGAUUAGGGAGGCUCGUUGGCUUAGGACAAUUAUUAUUGCAAGUGAUAACUAUUCUUGCCUUCAAAUCCAAAUAAAACUAAAUCACAGAAAUAAAUACCAGAAACCCCACCAACUAUAAUUACUUUUCACUGUCAUAUUCAUACUAAUACUAUCAACGCCAAGAUCUCCCAUUUAAUAAAAGAAUAAUGCAAAAACUGACUGAGAUUAUUGUUAUUUCAUUUUGGUAAGCUCCCUACUGAAGGUAAACUGAAAAGAAAAGUAAAACAAGAUAUACUACUACUGUAAAGGGUUGCAUUCAUUUCAGCUCACAGUGACAACUCUGCUCUCCAAAAGUGCUAAGUUUUGGCAGCUCAAUCCAGCUUCACAGAAGAGAACAAGUAGUGCACAAAC